AGUGAACGCUGGCGGUAGGCCUAACACAUGCCAGUCGAACGGCAGCACAGUAAGCGCUUGCUCUUACGGGUGGCGAGUGGCGGACGGGUGAGGAAUACAUCGGAAUCUACUUUUUCGUGGGGGAUAACGUCGGGAAACAUACGCUAAUACCGCAUACGACCUACGGGUGAAAGCAGGGGAUCUUCGGACCUUGCGCGGUUGAAUGAGCCGAUGUCGGAUUAGCUAGUUGGCGGGGUAAAGGCCCACCAAGGCGACGAUCCGUAGCUGGUCUGAGAGGAUGACCAGCCACACUGGAACUGAGACACGGUCCAGACUCCUACGGGAGGCAGCAGUGGGGAAUAUUGGACAAUGGGCGCAAGCCUGAUCCAGCCAUACCGCGUGGGUGAUGAAGGCCUUCGGGUUGUAAAGCCCUUUUGUUGGGAAAGAAAAGCAGCAGGCUAAUACCCCGCUUCGCUGACGGUACCCAAAGAAUAAGCACCGGCUAACUUCGUG
rnacentral:rRNA from 1 species